rnacentral:rRNA from 1 species
AGAGUUUGAUCCUGGCUCAGGAUGAACGCUGAUGCUUUACACUGCAAGUCGAACGGUAACAGGUUAAGCUGACGAGUGGCGAACGGGUGAGUAAUGCAUCGGAACGUGCCCGGUCGUGGGGGAUAACGCAGCGAAAGCUGCGCUAAUACCGCAUACGAUCUGAGGAUGAAAGCGGGGGACCGUAAGGCCUCGCGCGAUCGGAGCGGCCGAUGUCAGAUUAGGUAGUUGGUGGGGUAAAGGCUCACCAAGCCGACGAUCUGUAGCUGGUCUGAGAGGACGACCAGCCACACUGGGACUGAGACACGGCCCAGACUCCUACGGGAGGCAGCAGUGGGGAAUUUUGGACAAUGGGCGCAAGCCUGAUCCAGCAAUGCCGCGUGCAGGAAGAAGGCCUUCGGGUUGUAAACUGCUUUUGUACGGAGCGAAAAGGUCUUCCCUAAUACGGGAGGCUGAUGACGGUACCGUAAGAAUAAGCACCGGCUAACUACGUGCCAGCAGCCGCGGUAAUACGUAGGGUGCGAGCGUUAAUCGGAAUUACUGGGCGUAAAGCGUGCGCAGGCGGUUUUGUAAGACAGGCGUGAAAUCCCCGGGCUCAACCUGGGAAUGGCGCUUGUGACUGCAAAGCUGGAGUGCGGCAGAGGGGGAUGGAAUUCCGCGUGUAGCAGUGAAAUGCGUAGAUAUGCGGAGGAACACCGAUGGCGAAAGCAAUCCCCUGGGCCUGCACUGACGCUCAUGCACGAAAGCGUGGGGAGCAAACAGGAUUAGAUACCCUGUAGUCCACGCCCUAAACGAUGUCAACUGGUUGUUGGGUCUUUACUGACUCAGUAACGAAGCUAACGCGUGAAGUUGACCGCCUGGGGAGUACGGCCGCAAGGUGAAACUCAAAGGAAUUGACGGACCCGCACAGCGUGAUGAUGUAGUAUCGAUGCACGCGAAAA